rnacentral:rRNA from 1 species
UAGGUGUAGGGGUUGUCAUGACCUCUGUGCCGCCGCUAACGCAUUAAGUAUUCCGCCUGGGGAGUACGGUCGCAAGAUUAAAACUCAAAGGAAUUGACGGGGGCCCNCACAAGCAGCGGAGCAUGUGGUUUAAUUCGAAGCAACNCGAAGAACCUUACCUAGACUUGACAUCUCCUGAAUUACCCUUAAUCGGGGAAGCCCUUCGGGGNAGGAAGACAGGUGGUGCAUGGUUGUCGUCAGCUCGUGUCGUGAGAUGUUGGGUUAAGUCCCGCAACGAGCGCAACCCUUAUUGUUAGUUGCUACCAUUUAGUUGAGCACUCUAGCGAGACUGCCCGGGUUAACCGGGAGGAAGGUGGGGAUGACGUCAAAUCAUCAUGCCCCUUAUGUCUAGGGCUACACACGUGCUACAAUGGCUGGUACAGAGAGAUGNUAAACCGUGAGGUGGAGCCAAACUUUAAAACCAGUCUCAGUUCGGAUUGUAGGCUGAAACUCGCCUACAUGAAGCUGGAGUUGCUAGUAAUCGCGAAUCAGAAUGUCGCGGUGAAUACGUUCCCGGGCCUUGUACACACCGCCCGUCACANNNNNNNNNUUGGCA